GAUUCCAUUCUAAAAAUAAACAAAAAGUAAUUACAUUUAAAUUUAUUUAAGAUAAAUGUAAUCUUAGUUUAGAAACAAGUCUAUAAUCUUUCUUGCUGUAAAUAUCUGCUUAUUUACAAGACAACAAUUGUCUAUAAAUGAUUGUGUCUACUGAUGUGAUAAAUGACAGCACAAUUUUGAGCAAAUAUUUAUGGCAAGAAUUCAAUAAAUACAUUUAAAAAUAACAUCUAGAACAACUUGAGGCUCCAAUUUCACUAUAACAUUUAAUAAAUAUCUAAGAAGUGAAGCAACUAGUAAGAUCAAUUGAAUAUAUUACACCAUUUGGAAAUAUUUGCCAUUGUGGACACCGCACUGGUAAUUGGUAAUUAUGUUUGUGUAACACCAAAUAUUAUUUUUAAAUGUUAAUAUAAUUCCCUAAUUUUAAAUGGAGUAAACAUGUCAUUUCUCUUUGCCAACAAAAGUAAUGCAAGAAUACCAAGAAAAAUGAGAGACAAGAGGACAUCUGCAAUGCUGAAAUAAAUGUGUACAAGUUGCCAACAGAUACAACAAUAAAGUGUCAUCUUGGAAGCAGAGGACAACCCUCACCAAACACUGAACAUGCUGCCACCUUGAUCUUGGACUUCCCUGCCUCUCAAACUAUCAGAAAAAUAAAGUUAUAUUUUUUGUUUAUAAA